UACGUAGGGACCAAGCGUUGUCCGGAAUCAUUGGGCGUAAAGAGCGUGUAGGCGGCCAGGUAGGUCUGCUGUGAAAACUCGAGGCUCAACCUCGAGACGUCGGCGGAAACCAUCUGGCUAGAGUGCGGAAGAGGCGAGUGGAAUUCCUGGUGUAGCGGUGAAAUGCGCAGAUAUCAGGAGGAACACCGGUGGCGAAGGCGGGUCUCUGGGCCGUAACUGACGCUGAGGAGCGAAAGCGUGGGGAGCGAACAGG
rnacentral:rRNA from 1 species